AGAGCCCGGCUCCACUGAAGAAACCCGCCGGCUGCUGGGGCAGGGCGGCGAAAGGUCAGUCGGCCGAGAGGAGUCCGUGGAGCCACCGUUUCAUAGCCUCAGGGAAAGGAUCGGGCGUGCUCACGAGCCCUCUAACCCAUGGCUUAAACACCCGCUUCCUAAGCCUGGGUUCUUAUGCCUUUGUUUGAAAAACAUGGUUCCCUGUGAAAUUUUACAUGUAGAAGAAAGCUUCACACUACGAGAGCUCUCAGGAUAUAAUUAUUUCAGACAGAUACUGGGAACAUAAGAUGGCUUAUCAAUCUAAGAUGGCCUUCCUGUCCUUCGGAUUGAACUGAAACCAUCCCUGAUUCCAGGGAUAGGUAGAUGAUCCAGGUUUGGACAAUCAAAAUAUUGAACCACCCUGGACCUACAAGUGUUUCUGGGAUGGGAACAUGCAAACGUUGGUCCAAAUUGUUGUUCUAGGCAGCCCAGUACAUUUCUCCAAUGCCUGAUGGAAUGAUAGGGUAUGCAUAAAUGUUCAUGUGGGCUCUGGAGUAUACCAGGAACUGAAGUAAGGUACAUGGACGUCUUGAAUAUUGUAACUGAGAUGGGCAAGCCUACACCUUUGCAAAUAAAGGAGGAUUGGGAAAGAUUAAGGUACUUCCUAAGCGUGGCUACUCCAAUGAAGCUUUAGUAUAUGUACUGAAAGAAGAUCCUCUCAUACUGCCACAGCCAAGAGAUAAGGUUGUAAAUCUUUAUUGGGAGAAGCCGUCAAGGACAGUUCUGUGAAAUGAAAGGAUCUCUGGAUCACCACAAAGUCUGGCUCAGUGACUAUGGCUUUGCAAACACUAAACAUUCCUGUCUCAAGUCCUGUAGAUGGCUUGAAAUAGUAUACAUAAGCAUGCCUUAUAAACAUCUUCAGUCUUUAUCAACUCUUUGGAGAUUCAGCCAUUCUUUUUUGUACUUUAGGGAAUUAAAUCAUUUUAUAAUGUAUAAAUCUGAGCAUGGCCGAUGGCAGAAGAAAUUUUGUCAUACGUUUUUAAAGAAAUAAAAAUGUAUUAUGUUUUAAAA
rnacentral:lncRNA from 1 species